GGAGACCCCGGGUGACGGGCCCGGCGCCGCUAACUGGACGGAACCCCAGCGUCCGCCGACAUGGCCUGGACCAAGUACCAGCUGUUCCUGGCCGGGCUCAUGCUCGUUACCGGCUCCAUCAACACGCUCUCGGCAAAGCGCUUCCUCCCAUCAACACAGUCGGCGGAGACAAGCUUGGCUAAAGGAGAUCCGAAAGCUUCAGAAGAGCACACACCUCUUGAUAAGGAAGCUCCCCUUCAGCCGCCUGGCAGCAGAAGCAUUUCUAGUUCAUCUCUUUGAGGACGCCUAUCUCCUCACCUUACAUGCCGGCCGAGUUACUCUCUUCCCAAAGGAUGUGCAACUGGCCCGGAGGAUCCGGGGCCUUGAGGAGGGACUCGGCUGAGCUCCUGCGCCCAGUGUUUCUGUCAGUCUUUCCUGCUCAGCCAGGGGGGAUGAUACCGGGGACUCUCCAGAGCCAUGACUAGAUCCAACGGAUUCUGCGAUGCUGUCUCUGAACAGUAUGUGUGUGUUGCUUUAAACAUUUUUUUUUUUUUGAGAAGGAGAAGACUGCAUGACUUUCCUCUGUAACAGAGGUAAUAUAUGAGACAAUCAACACCAUUCCAAAGGCCUGAAAAUAAUUUUCAGAUAAAGAGACUCCAAGGUUGACUUUAGUUUGUGAGUUACUUAUGUGACUAUUUGAGGAUUUUGAAAACAUCAGAUUUGCUGUGGUAUGGGAGAAAAGGAUAUGUACUUAUUAUUUUAGCUCUUUCUGUAAUAUUUACAUUUUUUACCAUAUGUACAUUUGUACUUUUAUUUUACACAUAAGGGAAAAAAUAAGACCACUUUGAGCAGUUGCCUGGAAGGCUGGGCAUUUCCAGCAUAUAGACCUCUGCCCUUCAGAGUAUCCUCACCAUUAGUGGCAGCAUCAAGUAACUGAGUGGACUGUGCUUGUCAACAGAUGUGUAGCUUUUCAGAAACUUAAUUGGGGAUGAAUAGAAAAUCUGUAAGCUUUGAUGUUCUGGUUCCUUCUAGUAAAUUCCUGUCAAAAUCAAUUCAGAAAUUCUAACUUGGAGAAUUUAACAUUUUACUCUUGUAAAUCAUAGAAGAUGUAUCAUAUCAGUUCAGGAUUUUAAAGUACCUUUUCGAUGCUUUUACGGGUAUUUUUGUAGUUUCUUUUUAGAGAGAUAAUAAAAAUCAAAAUAAUUAUUUAAUGAAAA
rnacentral:sRNA from 1 species